GCUCACAUCCAUAUCUCCGAGACAGUGCCCGAUCUGGUAAGAUCUCAGAAGCCGAGCAGCGUUAAAGCUGGUAAUUCAUUUGAUGGGUGACCGCGUGGGCUUGCCAGGUGUUGUAGGAU
rnacentral:rRNA from 1 species